rnacentral:rRNA from 1 species
AUUGAACGCUGGCGGCGUGCUUAACACAUGCAAGUCGAUCGGUAACAGGUGUAGCAAUACAUGCUGACGAGAGGCGGACGGGUGAGUAAUGCUUGGGAAUCUGCCUAUUAGUGGGGGACAACCCGGGGAAACUCGGGCUAAUACCGCAUACGCUCUACGGAGGAAAGCCGGGGACCGCAAGGCCUGGCGCUAAUAGAUGAGCCCAAGUCGGAUUAGCUAGUUGGUAGGGAACGGCCUACCAAGGCGACAAUCCGUAGCUGGUCUGAGAGGACGACCAGCCACACCGGAACUGAGACACGGUCCGGACUCCUACGGGAGGCAGCAGUGGGGAAUAUUGGACAAUGGGGGCAACCCUGAUCCAGCGACGCCGCGUGGGUGAAGAAGGCCUGCGGGUGUAAGCCCUUUCGGUGGAGAAGAAAAGUCUCGACCUAAUACGUCGGGACCUUGACGUAACCCACUAAAGAAGCNCCGGCUACUCUGUGCCAGCAGCCGCAUAAU